UACAGAGGUCGCAAGCGUUGUUCGGAUUCAUUGGGCGUAAAGGGUGUGUAGGUGGCUCCGUAAGUCGGGUGUGAAAUUUCGGAGCUUAACUCCGAAACUGCAUUCGAUACUGCGGUGCUUGAGGACUGGAGAGGAGACUGGAAUUCAUGGUGUAGCAGUGAAAUGCGUAGAGAUCGUAAGGAAGACCAGUGGCGAAGGCGGGUCUCUGGACAGUUACUGACACUGAGGCACGAAGGCGAGGGGAGCAAACGGG
rnacentral:rRNA from 1 species